ensembl:misc_RNA Metazoa_SRP Metazoan signal recognition particle RNA
GCCAGGUGCAGUGGUGUGCGCCUGUAGUCCCAGCUACUCAGGAGGCUGAGGUAGGAGAAUCGCUUGAACUUGGGAGGCAGAGGUUGCAGUGAGCAGAGAGCAUGCCACUGCACUCUAGCCUGGGUGACAGAGCGAGACUCUGUCUCAA